rnacentral:misc_RNA from 1 species
UCUUUUUGGGGUUUAAUAUCUCUCUGUUUCUCUAAAUCCAUUGUUAGAUUUUGUAUGCUACUAGUGAAAAGAGAGUCAACCAAGAGAAGCUAAAAGGGUACCUAAAUUUGCCACUCCUGCAUUUCUCUUUCUUACUUUGGUGCUAGGGAGAGAGAGAGAGGGGGGGAAGGAAGGAGAAAUGGGUAUUGUUCCAGAUGAGGCAAUCAAUCAGUUCAAAGCACUAAUGGAUCAAGUUGAGGAGCCAUUGAAGACGACAUAUCAGAAUAUUCAUCAAGGAUGUCAAACUGAAACUUUGAUCCGUUUUCUAAAAGCUAGAGAAUGGAAUGUUCCCAAGGCCCACAAAAUGUUAGUUGAUUCUUUGCAUUGGAGGAUACAAAAUGAGAUUGACAAUAUAUUAAUGAAACCUAUAGUUCCAACUGAUUUGUACAGAUCAGUGCGUGAUUCACAGCUUAUAGGAAUGUCGGGUUACUCAAUAGAGGGGCUUCCAGUCUUUGCUUUUGGUGUUGGGCUCAGCACAUAUGAUAAAGCAUCUGUCCACUACUAUGUUCAGUCGCAUAUUCAAAUAAAUGAAUAUCGGGACCGUGUAAUUCUGCCUUCUGCUUCAAAAAAAUAUGGGCGACCAAUAACCACCUGUGUGAAGGUUUUGGAUAUGACUGGUCUGAAGCUGUCAGCUCUUAGCCAAAUAAAGUUGCUGACAAUCAUAACGAGUAUUGAUGACUUGAACUAUCCAGAGAAAACAAAAACAUAUUAUAUUGUAAAUGCUCCAUACAUAUUUUCAGCGUGUUGGAAGGUUGUCAAGCCUCUACUGCAAGAGAGGACAAGAAAAAAACUUCAGGUUUUACCAGGUAAUGGGCGAGAUGAGCUGUUGAAGAUAAUGGAUUUAGCAUCUCUUCCACAUUUCUGUAAAAAGGAAGGAUCUGGAUCAUCACGACAUGCAGAGAAUGCUAUGGAGAACUGCUAUUCCUUGGAUCAUCCAUUUCAUCAACAACUCUACAACUACAUCAAGCAGCAGUCCCUGAUCAAUGGAACUGACAAACCAAUUAAACAGGGGUCUUUCCACGUGAAUCUGCCUGAGGCUGGGGAUGGGAAAGGAACAGAAAUCCUUAAAACCAUUGAAUCAGAGCUACACAAGUUUGAGAAUGGUAGUGAGCUUCCCAGAUCAGUAAGUGGCCUCAAAAUCAAUGGCGACUGAGGUUUGACAUGAUGCAUUCUCCAUGGCUUGAAAGAGGUGAAUGUUGGAUCUUGAUAACCAAAAUCACUUUGUUAUAGGUAUACAAUAUAAAUUGCGGUGAUUCCCCAUAUCCCUACUUAAGAGGGAAAAGCUAAUGCUGUAUAUGUAAUUUGAGAUGUUGACUGGAUAAUUCGUAUAAAGCUUUCCACAGCCUGACACGAUGUAGGAAUGUAGCAGAGAAUUGUAAUUCCUAUUUUCCCCAUUUUUUGGCUAAAACGGAUUUCUCUUAGCAUAAAAUGGGGAAAAUAG